rnacentral:rRNA from 3 species
GGUUGACCUCAGAUCAGGUAGGAAUACCCGCUGAACUUAA